AUCAUCUGCCCUAUAGACCACAAGGUCUGAAAGGGGAACUUUACUUGCAUAACUUUAGAAAUAAAGAGCCUUUACAAGACUAGUUUGGCACUAGAAAUAACCUUUACACGUCUUGGGUUACUUUGGUAUUGGAAAUAACCUUUAUAAGAUAAGUGUAGCAUUAUAUUAACCUUUACAAGUCUCGGGUAACUUUAGCAAAUGAAAUAACCGCUGCAAGUCAAAUUUGACAAAAGAAUCAAUCUGUACAGGUCUUAGUUAACAUUGACAUUGUAAAUAACCUUUACAAGUCAUCUUUGGCAUUUAAAAUAAUGUUUAGAAAUUUUGGGUAACAUUGGCUUUAGAAAUAACCUUUGCAACGAUACUUGGUAAACGUUGGCUUUAGAAAUAACCUUUGCAAGACUCGGUCAACUUUUAAAGUUCUCCACUGUUGGCUGUGAUGGGUUAGUUCUAAACAUUGUGAUGGAUAAGAAAGACACUAUGUAGACCUGUUUAGUCAUUGAAGUCAAACAAGAACAUGAAAUAGAUCUAUGGAGACAUCAUUGUGUAAACUUCAAUUUUCUAUAACAAUAAUGCUGCUUCGGAAUAGUAAGUUACCAAGCGGAACAAAGUGUUCUGUGUGUGUGUGUGUGUGUGUGAUCAGCAAUGUGUAUGUAGAGAGAGAAAAAAAACAACACAUUUGGACUUUGUGGUCAAAGUGUUUGAAUCUCUCUGUCUGGCUUUCGACUUGGUGAUUCGAUUAAAACAAAAGUCGCUGUAUUGUCUAGGGGACAAUAGAAUUGAGAACAAAAUUUAGUAACUCAGUAACCACGGGCUGCCCCACCUCCCUCCUGCGCCAUCUUGCUGGAUUAUUAGAGGAGUUGACAAGCAAUCAUGGGAGGUACCCCACUGUCUGGGGACACUUGUUGUCUAGACUAGUCGAUAAUGUCUUGUCCAAACUGGACUUUCCUUACCAUCUACAUAUUCAAACCAGUUUUGACUGGAGCCUACAAGACGAAAGACUUUGUGUUGGAACCAGGAAGUAAAGUACAUAGAGUUACUGGCAACACGGCUAUGGGUUAGUAUCGGUAAUUUCCCCUACCCUCUGACCCCCCAAAGCGUUCAAUGCUAUAAUUAAGGAGCGUAGUAAGCUAUCAGGGGGGGCUAUGCUCAAGAAUAUAUUUCAGGUGAAGUGUGACAAAAAAGCAAAAGUGGUAAUUCAAUAUGAAUCAAUGCAUUUACAUAAGACAGACAUUCCAGGGUUGUAGGUAGGCAACUAUCUUUUAUGCCAAAAAUUUACUGAUAAUUUCAAAAUGGAUGCCAAGUAAGAAUUGGAUGUAUUUAAACGUUCAAAGUUGGGUUUUUUUUUUCACUUGUUCCUGUUGGUAACGUCAUGGUUGGUACUCCAUCGCCUUAUUCAGAUUGAUACCCAAAACAAAUACAUCGACUACUCAAUAACGGACAUUGUAUAAUCGAAAAUGUCGCCUCAAGUUAAAUGAAAUUGUACAUCUUUGUUGGACAAACUUUAAAAGCGUGUCGUCUAGGUUAUAACCAGGUCACUUAUAUCUUCUAUAGCUAUUCAAUGUAGUUUAGUCUAACAAGAAUUUAGUUUCUCACCUCCCCCCCCCCCGUGUAUAGAUGUCCAUAGCAACUAGUGCAUUGGUACUGCACUAAUCCCCACCCACACAUGUGUGCAUAACAUUAACACGGGGAUAGGGGGGAGACGGGGGGCGAAGAAGUGAUCUAUAAAUUAUAAGGAGUCUAGCGUAGAGUGCAGUGGAAGCAUAUAUAAGUGCUGACCCGGUCUGGGACUUGUUGACACUAAUUACCUGAAAUCAGUAGGGGGGCUGGACAAAGCUUAAUCUGGUGCAGUGUCAGGGCGAGCUUAUCGGCAGACAGUCUCUAAUCACAAGUGCUUUACACCGAGCUACUUACACCGGCAUGAAGCUUUUAUCUCAUUCGCCUUCCCUCCCCGCGCUUGUUGUGGCCCAUUGUACCAACAUAGAAAGGGAAGAUACGAGCAUUUAUUUUACUGAUGCAUUGCUGUUUACUCAGGCCUAAGGAAAACAUACAACUAGCAGACAAAUAGUGUGUAUUAUUUUCAUUCUAAUUAGGGUUUACCUCCCUCCGCCCUAUGCAUCCCAAAUAUCUCUUAUAUUUAAGAAGAAAAGGGGGAGGGGAGGGGUGAGCGUAGGAACAGUGCUAUCCAUUGCACUGUUUAUGAAGACAACAAAAUUUGGUUUAGAGAUUUCACGUGUGCCUCAAUACGGAGAUAGGGAAGGCUAGACCGCAGAGAAAUGACGCGAUAGGCCCCUGGUCUUUUUGUUUCUUUCAUCAACAUGGGAGGGGCAGACAUGUUUGGAAUGAAACUCUUUCCAGCCAUUAGGUCCAACGUUGCAAUGUGCAGAACAUUUCUCUAGGAUUCUGUCCCGUGCCCGGUUACUGUGGCUAGUGCCUCCGUGAAAUAGGACUUAACAAUAGUUCCAAGUAGUAGUACAGCUAGGACUAAAGUGAGGACAGAAGCUGAAGACAUGCCAGGUUGGACUGUUGUUAUGUAAGUAUUAUAAAUGAGAAAAUCCUUAGUCUAGACAUUGUACAUUUGUAAACCACUAUUUAGUGUUUAAGACUCCUGUGUGUCCAGAUUGGGCAUCUUGAGUAAGUACUAACAUUUUUUCUAGAGGACAUUGCUGUGUGUCCAGAUUCAGCAUCUUGAGUAAGUACAAACAUUUUUCUAAAGGACAUUGCUGUGUGUCCAGAUUCAGCAUCUUGAGUAAGUACAAACAUUUUUCUAGUGGACAUUGCUGUGUGGGAUAAUGAGGUUUAGAACAGAGAUAAUGGGGACUCAAGGAUUCUUAAUAAAUGUUCCCUCUACUAAUCAUAGAAUAAACCCUAAGACUCAUAGAUCUAUAAAGAAAACAUUGUAAUUUUCAAAUUCAAUUUUCCAAAUAUUUUUUUCCCCCCUAGAUUACAUGAUGAAAGGAUUGCUAGCAUCUCUGAUGAUUCAUGCUAUCUCUGACGAGCGCUCUUACUAGAGGAUUCAGCCAAGAAAGUGCUAAUCUGAUGUGAGCCCAGAGGCAAGUUUGCUAUGGUCAAGUGAUAUGUCUGGCGUAAGCUGUGAAGUGCCUCUGCAAACAAGAAAAACACAGAGAGAUGAAUACAUGUAUUAAUCAAACUCUUGAAGUCACCAGAGUAUUUCGAGUCUUGACAAAACUAUUACUACUGAAGCAACAAAAACAACAACAAAAAAUUGAAUGGUGUGGUUGAAUGGUGUGGUUGAUGAGGAAGUUAAACCAAUGUAUUGUGGUUUAGUGGGAAGUUGUGGCUCUAGCUAGUAACUAACAUUAAAGGUUAUGUACUUCUAAGAUUAUGUUCUAGAACUUGUUUUUGUAAAUGUACCUAGCAGUUGUAAUUCGACAUGUAGAAUGUUGAAAUACGUAUGUUGCAUAGGAAGUUCGCUAUUAAAUCCGAUUGUUUGCUAAAGAACAGUGGUGUCUGUUGGUCACAUCAUAUCAGUUAUUUAAAAUUUUUUUUAAUUGUCAGUUUAACUAGCAGAUGACAAAAGCUUUAAUUUCAUUUCUGUAGUGUCCACAAGUUUAUUUUUUGUUCCGCCAUGGUUACGGGAAAUUGUGCCGUCAAUAAAACACAACUUUGCUAUUUUGUCACUGUCCUUCUCUAACAGUUUGAUAUUGGCUCAUUACUAAUUAUCAAUAAUUUAUUUUUCUACUUAUACAUCUAUUGUCCAGUUAUUAAAAAAUAUUUACAACGAAAAUGAGAAGCUCUCUUUUUUUUAUAAAAAUUCUUAGCUGUAUGUCUAUGACUAAAUUGGAUUUAAGCAAGCACUUUUUAUUCCUGAAGUGCAAGACAGAAAAAUGAGAAAUUAAAUACCAAUUCACAAACACCAACAUAGGGAUAGUAUAUAUCCCAUUACAAAGACGCCUUUGUACAUUCUCAGUUCUUAGUUUGAAAUGAAUAAACAUUGUUAACGACAACAAACAAUUAACAUUCAAAGAGUUAAUAUACAACUGUUGAUAGGUUUUAGAGUUGCUUUGUACCUACAAGCAGAUAGUCCAUUUUAGCCUAGUAGGCAUAUAUAGUUAAUACAUAUAUAUUUAAUACAGAAACUGGAAU
rnacentral:sRNA from 1 species